GACGAACGCUGGCGGCGUGCCUAAUACAUGCAAGUUGAGCACUGAAGGUUGGUACUUGUACCAACUGGAUGAGCAGCGAACGGGUGAGUAACGCGUGGGGAAUCUGCCUUUGAGCGGGGGACAACAUUUGGAAACGAAUGCUAAUACCGCAUAAAAACUUUAAACACAAGUUUUAAGUUUGAAAGAUGCAAUUGCAUCACUCAAAGAUGAUCCCGCGUUGUAUUAGCUAGUUGGUGAGGUAAAGGCUCACCAAGGCGAUGAUACAUAGCCGACCUGAGAGGGUGAUCUGCCACAUUGGGACUGAGACACGGCCCAAACUCCUACGGGAGGCAGCAGUAGGGAAUCUUCGGCAAUGGACGAAAGUCUGACCGAGCAACGCCGCGUGAGUGAAGAAGGGUUUCGGAUCGUAAAACUCUGUUGGUAGAGAAGAACGUUGGUGAGAGUGGAAAGCUCAUCAAGUGACGGUAACUACCCAGAAAGGGACGGCUAACUACGUG
rnacentral:rRNA from 1 species